UGGGGAAUCUUGCGCAAUGGGCGAAAGCCUGACGCAGCAACGCCGCGUGUGUGAUGAAGGUCUUCGGAUCGUAAAGCACUGUCGGGAGGGACGAAUAAGGGCCGGGUGAACAAUCCGGUUCGACGACGGUACCUCCAAAGGAAGCACCGGCUAACUCUGUGCCAGCAGCCGCGGUAAUACAGAGGGUGCUAGCGUUGUUCGGAAUUAUUGGGCGUAAAGCGCGUGUAGGCGGCCGGCCAAGUCGGAUGUGAAAGCCCUCGGCUUAACCGAGGAAGUGCGUUCGAUACUAGCUGGCUCGAGUACCGGAGAGGGUGGUGGAAUUCCCGGUGUAGAGGUGAAAUUCGUAGAUAUCGGGAGGAACACCAGUGGCGAAGGCGACCACCUGGACGGAUACUGACGCUGAGACGCGAAAGCGUGGGGAGCAAACA
rnacentral:rRNA from 1 species